GAUAAACGCUGGCGGCGUGCAUGAGACAUGCAAGUCAUACGGACGAGCUUGCUCGUCAGUGGCGAACGGCUGAGUAACGCGUAGGUGACCUGCCCCGAAGUGGGGGAUAACUGCCCGAAAGGGUGGCUAAUACCGCAUGUGGCGACGAGUUCAUGCUCGUCAUCAAAGCCGCGAGGCGCUUCGGGAGGGGCCUGCGUCCGAUUAGCUCGUUGGGGGGGUAACGGCUCACCAAGGCGACGAUCGGUAGGUGGUCUGAGAGGACGAUCACCCAGACGGGGACUGAGACACGGCCCAGACUCCUACGGGAGGCAGCAGUCGGGAAUUUUGCUCAAUGGGGGAAACCCUGAAGCAGCAACGCCGCGUGCGGGAUGAAGGCCUUCGGGUUGUAAACCGCUUUUGUCAGGGACGAUAAUGACGGUACCUGGCGAAUAAGUCACGGCUAACUACGUGCCAGCAGCCGCCGUAAUAC
rnacentral:rRNA from 1 species